UAAGUCAAGUACAACAGACACCUGUAUCCUGUGUGCAAUUUUUACGUAUUUGAACGAAUCAACGAUGACGAAGGGAGUCAAACAAAAUUGUCAUUCGUUGUUAGUCGCGGUUAUAUUGUUAAGAAGAUGAGAUCGCGGCGCAUAAACAUGGUUCAGAAAGCGGAUCAAUGCAUGUUCAUUCAUGACGCCAUUAUCGAUCACAUCCAAUGUGGAGCGAAUGAAGUUGAUGCUGUUCAAAUCAAGAUCGAGAUUGCACAGCUGUCUAAGAAAAGUAGGAACGGAAAAACUGGAUUUGAAGAUAAGUUUGUGGUUUCUACUAUCUUUUUGUAAUGAUCAUUUCUUAUGCUGAUGCCUAUCUAAUGUAUGUAAAGACUUAAGUUUCGACUUAAAAUCAUUCCC